AGACUGAAUGGAUGAACACCAGGACUGGUACACUGUUCCAAAGGUCAUUCCAGAAACAGUGGAGCUUUGGGAACAGGGGCCUUGAUGGCAUAAGCUGCAGCACCGGAGUGCACCUGUGGCUGGAGCUUCAGCUCAAGGACCGUGCCCUGUAACCACUGACUGUGGCGGCUACCAGGGCAGCACUCCGUUGAGAUUAGAGCACUGGAGGAGGUAAUCCAAGGAAUCAUAAGACUUGGAUCCAUCUGCCAUGGUUCAAAUGGAGUCCAG